UUGCUUUUGGGAGAAAUAUCCCUGGUUUAAUUUAUUUUCUGGGUGUGCUACUGAACACCAAGUCUUUAUUUUUUUUGGAGCAGAAAAAAUGUACGCUCCUGCAUGUGUUAUGUCAAUAUUUAUUGCUGCAGAAGCCCUACCUCCCCAACCCACGCCAGCACUCCCACCCCAACCGCCAGCCCCACAACCACAGCCGGCUCCUCAUCAACCAAGGCAACGGAGGCGUGCUAGGCCACCAAUUUUCCGAACCCGUGUCCUACUUUUUGGUAUGCCAGAUGAUGUGGUGGUGCGUAGAUACAGGCUGCCACCACAUCUAAUCCUAGACACUCUCUCCAUAAUAGAGAGUGAUCUGGAGUCUGAAAUUCGGUAUCCUACAGCAAUACCACCAUUGACACAAUUCCUUGCAGUGUUACAUUUUUUGGCUACAGCCUCAUAUCAGCAUGUUGUGGGAGACCUGG